rnacentral:rRNA from 1 species
ACUACGGGAGGCAGCAGUGAGGAAUAUUGGUCAAUGGACGAGAGUCUGAACCAGCCAAGUAGCAUGAAGGAUGACGGCUCUAUGGGUUGUAAACUUCUUUUAUAUGGGAAUAAAACAGGGUAUGCAUACCCGCUUGCACGUACCAUAUGAAUAAGGAUCGGCUAACUCGGUGCCAGCAGCCGCGGUAAUACGGAGGAUCCGAGCGUUAGCCGGAUUUAUUGGGUUGAAAGGGUGCGUAGGUGGAUAGUUAAGUCAGUUGUGAAAGUUUGCGGCUCAACCGUAGAAUUGCAGUGGAAACUGGCAGUCUUGAGUACAGGAGAGGUAGGCGGAAUUCGUGGUGUAGCGGUGAAAUGCUUAGAUAUCACGAAGAACUCCGAUGGCGAAGGCAGCUUACUGGACUGCAACUGACACUGAUGCUCGAAAGUGUGGGUAUCAAACAGGAUUAGAUACCCGAGUAGUC